rnacentral:SRP_RNA from 1 species
UACUAGCCGGGGAGAUAGCGGUGCCCUGUAUCUACAACCCGCUUUAGUAGAGGUGAUGUCAGACUUGAGGGAGAUUUUAGUGUCAACGCCUUAUUUAAAGAAUGUUGAGAAAAUAGUCCUAUAUUGUAGAGAGUUGGUGAACCGUGUCAGGUUGGGAACAAAGCAGCACUAAGUCAAUUUCUCUAGGUUUAUAGGGUAGCUGUUUUUGAGUUCUU